AUUAUUCUUACACACGCGACGCUGCAGUAUGAUAUCCUUUUUAUGUUGGUACACUGAUAUGUUCUUCCUUCUUAUAAUUUUGGUUGCCGAGAAUAUUAUGUCAGAAUGACGGAAGCUACGAUUCGCACUCGAAAAUUUAUGACCAAUCGGCUAUUAUGCCGGAAACAAAUGGUAGUGGAUGUCCAUCAUCCUGGACAAGCUUCUGUACGUAAGACUGAGAUCAGAGAAAAAUUAGCAAAAAUGUAUAAAGUAACACCGGAUGUUGUAUUUGUUUUUGGAUUCUUAACGCACUUUGGUGGAGGCAAAUCCACCGGAUUUGCUUUAAUAUAUGACACCUUAGAUUUCGCCAAAAAAUUCGAACCAAAACAUAGGUUAGCAAGGCACGGUCUUUACGAAAAGCAAAAGCUAACCCGAAAACAACGAAAAGAACGUAAAAAUAGAAUGAAGAAAGUUCGGGGUACUAAAAAAAGUAAAGUUGGAGCAUCCUCUAAGAAGGGGAGGAAGUAGACAAAUGUACUCAAAAUUUGCACUACAAAUCUCGAGAAGGAAUAGCCUCUUAUUCUGAUGUUUAUAUAUGUGAAUCCAUUACCACACAUCAUGAAGGCCACAAUAAUACUGGUAACAUCGUCGUAAAAAUGGUUAUAAUUCAUUUGUACAUCAGCAUUGACAUUGGUAAUACUUAUGAUAAAAUUUGUGAAAUAAAAUUGUGCACUUCUUGAUGAAAAAAAUCAUUUCCUUAUGUAUUUCUUCUUAUAUAUGUAUAUAAUUGAUUGUUUAAAAAAUAGUAAGAAAAUAAUAACCGAUUGAUGUGUGUGUAUAUGUUACCAAUUUUGCAAGUACUUUAUUAGGGGAAUAAAACUUCAACAGAAGCUGCUAAGUCA
rnacentral:misc_RNA from 1 species